ensembl:misc_RNA Y_RNA Y RNA
GGCUGGUCCGAGGGCAGUGGUGUUUACAACUAAUUGAUGGCAACAGGUUACAGAUUCCUUUGUUCCUUCUCCACUCCCACUGCUUCACUUGACCAGCCUAAA